rnacentral:rRNA from 1 species
UACGUAGGGGGGCAAGCGUUGUCCGGAUUUAUUGGGCGUAAAGAGCUCGUAGGCGGCUUGGCAAGUCGGGUGUGAAAACUCCAGGCUCAACCUGGAGAUGCCACUCGAGACUGCUAUGGCUAGAGUCCGGUAGGGGACCACGGAAUUCCUGGUGUAGCGGUGAAAUGCGCAGAUAUCAGGAGGAACACCGGUGGCGAAGGCGGU